rfam:Macaca fascicularis chromosome 2, whole genome shotgun sequence.
ACUUUUAAAGGAUAAGAGUUAUCUGCUGAUCUUAGGAACCAAAAACAUUGGUUCAACUCUAAGUAAAAGUA